rnacentral:lncRNA from 1 species
UGGGAAUCUCGGCGGUGGAACUCCGGAGAGCAGCUGGCUGAGGCGAGGGGCGCCGCGCAGGUCCCUUUGCUGACGCCGAGCCUGAGCCUGAGCCGGUCCCGGGGUCCAAGAGGGCUGUGUGCACCCUGCGCGCCCGCGCGCUCCAGGGGAGGUGCGCUCCAGGGGAGGUCCGCCCCAAGCAGAGCGGCACAUCCUCCAGACGACUUCGGAUCCUGCUGUUGAGGAGCCAGGAAACGCCCUGACACUGUUGCGGCCCUGUCCACAUCUCUAAGAUGGGGAUGAUAGUACUUCUGGCCAUUCCUGAGCACAGCAGGACCUGCCUUUUCCCUUUGACUGGAAGGUUCUUCUCUACAUCUUCAGUCUUGAUAACCUGCCACCUCCACAGGGAGGUCUUCCCUGGCUCCCAAUUUAAAAUUGCAGCUCUGAGAAGCCGGGCAUGGUGGCAUAUGCCUGUAGUCCCAGCUACGGGGGAGGCUGAGGUGGGAGGAUCGCUUGAGCCCAGGAGUUGGAGGCUGAAGUGAGCUAUGAUCACUCCUUUGCACUCCAGCCUGGGGGAAACAGCA